AGGUACGAUCAUACCCGGGUUACUACGCCGGAUCCCAUCCGAACUCCGCAGCUAAGUCCCCGUGGGCUCGAAUAGUACUGGCUAGGGUGACCCGCCGGGAAGUCCGAGUGUCGUACCUU
rnacentral:rRNA from 1 species